rnacentral:lncRNA from 1 species
GGAUUGGUGGAGUUUCUGCAGUACCAGGACACAGGUUUGAUCCCUGGCCAAGCACAGUGGGUUAAAGGAUCUGGCGUUGCUGCAGCCUGGGUAGAGUUCCCUGUGCUAUAGAUUAGGACCUUGUUUGUGCAUUUUAAGUGUAAUAGUUUGCAUCUACUAAACCCAAACCUUUUCUACUUCUUACUACUGUAAGGGCUUGAUGUAGGUCUUCCUCCUGAUUCAUGGAAGACAGUUUUCCUCCAUGAAGAGAACUCAGGAUAUUUCCACCUUUUGAUUCUAUCAUCUCUUGGGGCCUCUGAAUUCGCUAUCUCCAGAUCACAUGCUUAAAAGCUUCUGGAUGGAGAUGACAUAGUCUUUCUUGUUCAUCUUCCUUUGUUAGGAACUAGUUAUGUAGACAAACAGGAAAUGUAUCUCUGAUUGGGCAACUACCUCCCAGGAUCAACACCAUGAAGUGAAAUAGAGAGGGCACACUUUUGCUGGACAGUUAGCCAUCAAUGCCACAGAAGAUUAAAACUAUGACUACCCCAAAGAUAACACAAGUGAUGCUAUUUAAUAAUAAAGCAAUAACCAGGGCGAUGCAGGAUUUCACAGGGAAGUUUUUAAUAGCGUGACCCCAUGUAUGCAAAGGAUCAAGCUGUGUUCAGGACUGCCCACUCCUCUGAUUGGUUAUGCUUUGGUAUCCUGUCUACCUCGGUCCUCAUCUGAUCACCUAGGAGACUUAAGCUCAAAGCAGCAUUUACUAACAUCUUGUCUCCAAUUAAGCAUCCACUAACAGCUUCAAUGGAUUGCCUCCUGCUCUGAGGGAAAGACUUCCAGNNNNNNNNNNNNNNNNNNNNNNNNNNNNNNNNNNNNNNNNNNNNNUUCCUAGUCAGCAGCUGGUGCACUCUAGGUGAAUGGAGUUGAAAGACUCAUAGUUUCAGUAACUAUCCUGAAGAUCUGACAGCAUGUGAAAGAAAGAUCUAGUUAUGUUUUUAAAGAAUUUUUCAACUCUGAAGGAAUGGCUAAAUUAUGAAGCCCCCAUGGUUUAACUAUCAUAUUACAAAAGAUACAAUAUUGCAAGUGAAGAAACUUUCAAACAUGACCUACUAUUGAGAUUGGAACCUAUAUUUCAAAUCCUCUGUCUUUUGUCUUUUCUAAGGCCGCUCCAGAGGCAUAUGGAGGUUCCCAGGCUAGCGGUCUAAUUGGAGCUGUAGCCGCCGGCCUAUGCCACAGCCACAGUAACACCAGAUCUGAGCCCUGUGGUGUAGGUGGCAGACGCGGCUCGUAUCCCGUGUUGCCGUGGCUCUGGCGUAGGCCAGUGGCUACAGCGCCCAUUCGACCCCUAGCCUGGGAACCGCCAUAUGCUGCAGGAGCGGCCCAAGAAAAGGCAAAAAGACAAAAAAAAAAAAAGGAAUUGGAGGAGUUCCUGUCACAGUGCAGUGGGUUAAGAAUGUGACUGCAGUGGCUCAGGUCGCUGAAUAGGUGAGCAUUUGAUCCCUGGACUGACAUGGUGGGUUAAAGGAUCUGGAGUUGCUGCAGCUGUGGCUCAGAUUCAUUUCCUUGUCCAGGAACUUGCAUAUGCUAUGAGUGAAGCCAUUAAAAAUAAUAAGAAGAACUAAAAAAAAAAUAGAAAUUGGAGAAGAGGAUGUGAGGAGCACAGAAGUUGCAAGCAUCACAUUCCACUGGCCAGCAUUUAAACUCAUGGCUGCACAUAACUACUUCAAGGAGGAUGAGAAAUACUGUCUUACUAGGAAAGCUGCUUAUCCAGAUAAAUGUGGGGGUUUUAUACCAGAGGAAUAAGGGAGAAGGACUAUUUGGAAACAAACAACUGUCUCUACUGCCUUGAUUCCUACUCAUAGUUUUCUGACUUCUGCCUUUGCUGCUGCACAAAAUUGUCCAUUUUCCAUUCCAGUUUCCAAAGCCUGUGACCUCUUUUCAGUCAGUAGGGCAUUUUUCCCCUGAAAUGUUGUCCAAUUUUAUUGCUAUAAAUUUCCUGAAAUUCCCUAUUAGAGUUUACAAAUGCCCUUCCCUUUGUUGUAUUCUUGUAAUUGUGAGAGGCAAAAUUUUAAAGCAAUGAAUGGGUUCAUUGUCUAAUAUCUCCUACAUGUGUUUUUUUUUUUUUUAAAUUUGUUGAUGACUAGCAGCAUAAAGUAUCAACAAAGAUUUAAAUACUACAUCUUGAUUUUCAGUGAUUAUAUCAUAGAAUCAUGUAUACUAGAUCUUGUAUAUACCUUUUUCUUUCCAUAGAAUGUUAAUACUGUAAAGCUAGGGUUUUAUCUGGUCUUCAAAUGCAGUCACAAAAUAACUAAAAAUCUUUCCUGGAGUUGAAUUAUCUGUCAUGUAUCUGUCAUUUGUGUUGAUAUUAACUAAAGCUAGUUGACCAUAAUAUUCUUUUAAGCACCAAUGUUUGACAAAAAAAAAAAAA